UGUUCUCAGAAGGAAGUUUCCCGGCUUCCUCCUCUGAGGGCAGGAGCCAGCUGACCAGAACCUUCAGGGAUUGGAAGUCUUUCCUAACGGCUUGCUUAAAUCAUCUCUGAUGGCAUCCAUUCAACCCACAGGGGCACAUGCCUGUGACACAGUCAUUCUCUCAAGUCUAUUUCCAAACGAUGAACAUCAGAUACAUCCCACGCUGGACCCCAAGGCCCAUCAGAAGCAGGAAGCUGUCACCAGCUGCCACCGAGGCAUCCUUUCUGUAGCAAUGACAGCCAGCAAGCUACAGCCAGAUCACAUGACAGGAGGACCUCAGCACUCCGUAUUCAGCAAAAGGAGACUGGCAAAAGGACACACUCCAGGCCAGGCAUGGCGGGCCCUGCCUGUCCAUCAUCCUCGUCCUUGAGAGGGGUGGACAGAUUUCCAAGGCCAGGCUUGAGUGCAUGCCUGAAGUAGAGUCCAUGGAACCCACAUCUACGGAAGAGCCGCGAGUGGUGAGACCGAAUGACCUCGGGCUUCCUAAGACUUGGUUUCUCCUGCCUGCCUAUGAGGUGAGAAGAGCAAAGCUAUUCUCUCAGACAUCGGAGAGAGACGGCACCCACCAACUGCCGGCAAGCUCCCUUUAACAAGUUCCCAAUAAAUAACAGUUUCUCCGUU